rnacentral:sRNA from 1 species
AUUAAUGCAUGACUUACAACAAAUAGGCGUCAAGUAUGUCGAUGUUAGUGGCAAAGGUGGUACUAACUUUGUAGAUAUUGA